AGUCCACAAGUGCGACCUUGGCCUCGGGAGCGUGGGGUCAGGCUAGUGGGCUCAGUCAGAAGAGGCUCCGGAGAAAAGGUGUGCCUCCCUGGAUCUCCACUUCCAACUUUGUUUUCUUUUGAAUAGACUUUAUUUUUGAGAGCAGCUUGAGGUUCACAGCAGGAUCGAACAGCAAGUGCAGAGAGUUUGCCAUGAACACCUCCCCCUCGGGCCACCCCCACACGGCCGCCUCCUCUGCCAGCAUCCUGCCACAGAGUCCUUUACGUGAGGAGAUCCCCUACUGCUGUUCUGCUCACCGCCUGUCAGUCGAUUUCCCAAGAGUCAGACCAGCCUUUUUAGAACAGAGAUAAUACGAUCCUGGUUAAAACCCUUGCUUGAAAUCCUUCAGCGAUACCACUUCACUCAUAUUAAGAUGGCUACUAUCAAAACAAAAAACAAAAAAACAACCCAGAAAAUAACAAGUGUUGGCCAGGAUGUGGAGAGAUCGGAACCCUUGUGCAGUGUCGGUGGAAAUAAUAAAUGGUGCAGCCACUGUGGAAA